rnacentral:rRNA from 1 species
GGUGAACGCUGGCGGCGUGGAUAAGGCAUGCAAGUCAAGGGGGCCGCAAGGCAACCGGCAGACGAGGUAGGAAUACACAGGUACGUACCCAGAAGUCGGGCAUAGCUAGCCGAAAGGUUAGGUAAUUCCCGAUAGUCUCUACGGAGUAGAGGUUUUUCGCUUCUGGAGCGGCCUGUGCCGUAUCAGCUUGUUGGUAAGGUAAUGGCUUACCAAGGCUAUGACGCGUAGGGGGGGUGAGAGCCCGUUCCCCACCGAUGGGACUGAGACACGGCCCAUACUCCUACGGGAGGCCGCAGUCGAGAAUCUUCCACAAUGGGCGAAAGCCUGAUGGAGCGACGCCGCGUGCAGGAUGAAGGUUCUUGGAUCGUAAACUGCUUUUAUGAGGGAGGAAAUUUUGACGUUACCUCAUGAAUAAGAGGCUCCUAAUCCCGUGCCAGCAGGAGCGGUCAUACGGAAGCCUCAAGCGUUACCCGGAAUCACUGGGCGUAAAGGGUGUGUAGGCGGUUAUGUUAGUCUGUUGUGAAAGCCCGGGGCUCAACCUCGGAUCCGCAAUGGAUACGGCAUAACUCGAGGAUGAGAGAGGUGUACAGAACUCAUGGUGUAGGGGUGAAAUCCGUUGAUAUCAUGGGGAAUACCAAAUGCGAAGGCAGUACACUAGCUCAUUCCUGACGCUGAAACACGAAAGCGUGGGUAGCGAAUGGGAUUAGAUACCCCAGUAGUCCACGCCCUAAACUAUGUCCGCUAGCCAUAAGGAGUAUCGACCCUCUUUGUGGCGAAGCUAACGCGUUAAGCGGACCGCCUGGGUAGUACGAGCGCAAGCUUAAAACUCAAAGGAAUAGACGGGGACUCGCACAAGCGAUGGAUCAUGUGGCUUAAUUCGUCGGUAAACGAAGAACCUCACCAGGGCUGGAAAUCUAGUGGAACUCAUUUGGAAACAGAUGGGGCCUUCGGGCCGCUAGACAGGUGAUGCAUGGCCGUCGUCAGUUCGUGGUUUGAAUUGUUCCCUUAAGUGGGGUAACGAACGCAACCCCUGCUGUCUGUUACAAGUGUCAGGCAGGACUGCCCUUAUUUGGGGAGGAAGGUGGGGAUGGCGCCAGGUCCGUAUUUCCCUUUGAUGCCCUGGGCUGCACACGUGAUACAAUGGCUAUUACAACGGGACGCGACGCAGCGAUGCUGAGCAAAUCCUUAUAAAAAUAGCCCCAGUUCGGAUUGCAGGCUGCAACUCGCCUGCAUGAAGUCGGAAUCGCUAGUAAUCGCGGGUCAGCUAUACCGCGGUGAAUACGUUCUCGAGUCUUGUACUCACCGCCCGUCAACUCAAGGGAGCCGGAAAUGCCCGA